CAAGUGGCCCUGCGCCGAAAAUAUAACGGGGCUAAGCAUAGUACCGAAGCUUUGGCAGCGCGCUUCGCGCGCUGGGUAGGGGAGCGUUCUUAUCGGGCAGAAGCUAUACCGGAAGGAGUAGUGGACUGAUAAGAAGAGAGAAUGCUGGCAUAAGUAAGCGAGAAGGCAGGUGAGAAUCCUGCCCGCCGAAAACCUAAGGUUUCCUGGGGAAGGCUCGUCCGCCCAGGGUAAGCCGGGACCUAACCCGAGGCCGAAAGGCGUAGGGGAUGGACAACUGGUUGAAAAUCCAGUGCCACCUGAAAGCCGUUAAGAGUGAAGGGGUGACGCAGGAGGAUAGGUGAAGCGCACGAUUGGAAGAGUGCGUCCAAGCACGAAGAGGGUGAGACAGGCAAAACCGUCUCACGAGACCUUGAGGUGUGAUGGGGAGUGAAACAAAGUAGCGAAGUCAUCGAAUCCAAACUGCCAAGAAAAGCCUCUAGCCAGGAAGAAGGUGCCCGUACCGUAAACCGACACAGGUAGGUGAGGAGAGAAUCCUAAGGCGCGCGAGAGAACCCUCGUUAAGGAACUCGGCAAAAUAACCCCGUAACUUCGGGAGAAGGGGUGCUCUGAUAGCGUGAGUAUAUAAACAUGUACGAGCGUGAGAGAGCCGCAGUGACCAGGCCCAGGCGACUGUUUAGCAAAAACACAGGUCUCUGCCAAAUCGAAAGAUGAAGUAUAGAGGCUGACGCCUGCCCGGUGCUGGAAGGUUAAGGGGAGAGCUUAGCGGCAACGCGAAGGCUUGAACCGAAGCCCCAGUGAACGGCGGCCGUAACUAUAACGGUCCUAAGGUAGCGAAAUUCCUUGUCUGGUAAGUUCAGACCCGCACGAAAGGCGUAACGAUCUGGGCGCUGUCUCGACGAGGGGCUCGGUGAAAUUGUAAUACCGGUGAAGAUGCCGGUUACCUGCGAUAGGACAGAAAGACCCCGUGGAGCUUUACUGCAGCUUGAUAUUGGAUUUUGGUAGUGCAUGUACAGGAUAGGUGGGAGACUAAGAAUCCAGGUCGCAAGGCUUGGAGGAGUCAAUGGUGGGAUACCACUCUUGAAUUGCUGGAAUUCUAACCUGGGCCCGUAAACCGGGUCAGGGACAUUGUCUGGCGGGCAGUUUGACUGGGGCGGUCGCCUCCCAAAGAGUAACGGAGGCGCCCAAAGGU
rnacentral:rRNA from 1 species